rnacentral:rRNA from 1 species
CAGGUCUUGACAUCCCACUGACCGGCUUAGAGAUAGGCUUUUCCCUUCGGGGACAGUGGUGACAGGUGGUGCAUGGUUGUCGUCAGCUCGUGUCGUGAGAUGUUGGGUUAAGUCCCGCAACGAGCGCAACCCUUGAUCUUAGUUGCCAGCAUUCAGUUGGGCACUCUAAGGUGACUGCCGGUGAUAAACCGGAGGAAGGUGGGGAUGACGUCAAAUCAUCAUGCCCCUUAUGGCCUGGGCUACACACGUGCUACAAUGGACGAUACAAAGGGCUGCAAACCCGCGAGGGGGAGCCAAUCCCAUAAAAUCGUUCUCAGUUCGGAUUGUAGGCUGCAACUCGCCUACAUGAAGCCGGAAUCGCUAGUAAUCGUGGAUCAGCAUGCCACGGUGAAUACGUUCCC